rnacentral:tRNA from 1 species
UCCCUGGAGGGCUAGUGGUUAGGCUACAGCACUCUCCCCACUGCAGCCCGGGUGCGAUUCCUGGCCAGGGAA